GCUUGGCAGAAACAAGGCCAAAAUGCACCCCUUGGCCCGCCAGAUUAUUACAAGUAAAAACUUAAAACUCAAAGGACUUGACGGUGUCCCACACACAACCUAGAGGAGCCUGUCCUACAAUCGAUGAUCCACGAAAGACCUCACCACCUUUUGCCCAACAGCCUAUAUACCGCCGUCGAAAGUUCACCUUGUGAAAGAAAAAAAGUGAACAUAAUAGCUUAGCGCUAGUACGUCAGGUCAAGGUGUAGUAAAUAAGGUGGCCAGAGAUGGGCUACAUUUCCUUUUUAAGGAAAAACGAACGGUCAAAUGAAAACUUAACCAGAAGGAGGAUUUAGUAGUAAAACAGAAUAAGAAAGUCUGCUUGAACACACUGCCCUGGGACG
rnacentral:rRNA from 2 species